rnacentral:other from 1 species
ACAAUCCUAGAGUGUUCGACACUCCUUGCAAUUUUGAACCUACAAAACUUUAAACGGGAUUCCUAUAUUGCGUGACGGAUGUCAGGCCGCAACCUCAUCGCCCGGAUCAUAUCCGGCCGCAGCGGAAGGCAGCAAGUCAGGCUGCGGUCACCCACCUGGCUGAUAGCUAGGAGUCAAAAUGCGGGAAACGGCAUAUCCGGGAUUAUU